UGGUGGGGCCCCCGGAGCGGCCCGGCCCCCGCGGGCAGGGUCGUAGUUCCUGAGGCUGCUGCUCCGCUGCCCCGGUGCCUUGGCUGUCCGCCGGGAGAAGGCGGCGCUGACUUCCCGAAGGAGCGCGGCCUCGGACAGGAAAAAAUAUACUACAUACCUACUGGAAUUGACCACAAACUUUUUGUGGGAACGGGAACAGGAACAGCAAAACAUCACUGUCAUGCUGCUUAGCUACUGGCCAUUGUCAGAGGUAUUCAAGACAAUUCAGUAGUCUCACCAUGGAUCAGUGGAGAUCCUUCGUAGCUAAGCAUGAUAUCGGGGGACACUGUCUUCGUACCUAGAACGCUGGAAGAACCCACACUGGGGUGGAAAAGAAAAAUAAUAAAUUAGGAUUAAGUCGCUGCCAAGGUACUACAAUUACAGAGGCAGUAAGUUCUUCCUUUGCACAGACAUACAGGUAAGAAAAUUGAAAACAAAAAUAUGUAGGCCAAAAAUGUAACAUACGUAGCUGUAAAAAUGUGAGCUAGCAGGUCUGCAGUAGUUGUUCCAGCAGCAGUUGAAGACAAAUGGCAUAGUCUGACAAUCCAGUCAUCUAAUACCUUAAAAAUAGUGCCUGCACUAACUUUCUAAAUUUGUUUCGCUAGUCUUGUAAGUCUUCUUUAUAAAGCUAUUCAUUCAUAUCAUGAGAGAAUUUAAUGCUACACAAAGAAGUAGAUAUAGUUCAGGAAAGCUUGCUUCUCCUGAAUCAAAGGUAGAAACAUACUUCAGUAUCUUCCUGUAUGGUGACAGGAUUUACCUUUAAAAAUGUACAGAAAGAUUUCUAGGGCCUUCAAGAAAAGUUAUACUAAGGCCUUGUAUUUCAAAGCACCAUCUCAACUAUAGUCACCUGAACUAACUACAUGUAUACAGUAUUAGAACAUGAGUCAUCUUUAGUUUGCCAUAGCAUAAAAGAGACAAAACUUAAAAAUUUUGUAAUGUGCCACGACACAAGUCUCUCUAGAUGAAAUCUAGUACAGCUUAUUUGCGCCCUGCAAUUUGUUUCAAAGCCACUGUAAAAACUGAUUUUAACUAUUGAGGAAUGGACUGAAAUUAGUUUUCAAAAUGAAAUGCAGUUAUGGCCACAAUGUUACAAAGAUGAUGAUGGGUAGACACUCAACUUCACAAGCUUAUGGGUCACUGAUGUCAAGAUUAAGGUUAAGAUAUAUUGUGCCAUCCACCUGGCAUUAGGUACUGCUAGGGAAAAAAAAAAAGAUUAAAGUGGCAGGGCUUUGUUCAUAGUAUUUGGGAGAAUGGGGUUUUUGUUUUGUUUGGAUUUUAAAAAAAAUACUAGAAUUGAACUGAAUUUUUUAAAAAUUAUGUCCAGGCAUAGACCAAAUCUUCAGCCAUCUCUUAGUCAGGAUUUCAUUAAAUAUUGUUUUGACAUAUUUUAAUUAAUAACUCCCCCCCAAUCCCAAGCAUCACUUAUUAAUAUAAUGUACAUGCAUGUAAUAUCUUAAGUUGAAUAAAGGUUGCUAGAAACAUAAAUCAUCAUGCAUCUAGUAGCUUCAGCAGAGGAAAGUGUGUUCCUAGAAAAGUGUACCUUAGAAUUGAAGGAAAACACGUUUCCACAAGAAUUAAAUUCUCAUUAUGACAACCCCUUUCAUUAUAAGCAACAUGUAUCUUUUAGCAUGCACUAAAGGUUAGUAAAGCAAGUUUAUCUAUUGUCAACAAACACAUGAUCUUAGCUUUAAAUCUUAACUCUGCAGUGUUGAUCACCAUCUCUCAAGCUUAGAAACUGAAAGUUUUGUUGUAUUGUUAAAACAUAAAUAAAGACUAAAACCCAUUGCAACAGAUCAAGGUGUUUUCUAAAGAAAUAAACAAAAAGCUUUUUAGACCAAGGUACACACCCACGUUUGUUCCCAUGUGCCAAAAGUUGAAAAUCUAUUGACAGAAUGAGCAAGCAAGUACAAUAGUUUGAAAUCCAAAAGUUAAUAGAACAUAUGCAGUAAAAGCUUCAUAGUUAGCCACCGCAACCACAGCAUGUGCCACAGCUAAAAAUUAAAAAAUAUCAUCAAUUACCAAUUACGGAAGUAGAUCAAUACUAUGCAUCAGAAGUAAGCCUCUCUUUAUCAGAUGGCUGAGCAUGGAUCUCAGCCUUGUGAUAUGUGGCAUCGUAAUGAUCUUUCUUAUUUCUCUUGAAGAAACCACACUACAAGGAAGCAAGGUAUUUAGUAAAUUUCUGUGGACUGGAAGAAGUCAAACUUAUUAAAACUAACUUAAAUUAACUCUGAACUAUCUUUCCAUUAUCCCUUCACUGGCCUAAAAAAAAAAAAAUGAGGACUCAGCUGUUUCUACAUCUGAGAACUUCUUGGACUAACUCAAUCUGUAAAAUAAUAGAAUAACAUGAGGUAAAGAAUAUUAUUUUAGAGGCAUGGUGAUAAAUUUGCAAUGCAUCCUCUUCUUUUUUUUUUUUUUAAGAAAAGCUACUAUAAAGUAUGUUCAUAGCAAUUAAAGCUGGCUGUGAAGAGCAGAAGGAAGUCUAUACAGAAACCUGUUUGUGGACUAGUGCACAGGACAGACAAAAACAGAGUAGAACAAAAAUGAGUACUGCUUUGACCUGUACAACACAAGCAUUUGUCUUAAACAGAUCAUGUAACUGUCCCUGAAGUACCACGUUUGUCCUUCCUAUCAUGGCACAGCAUUUGUCAUCAAAAGGAGCAUUUCAUGCUGUGUGUCCAUGUGUGUAAAUGUGUAUGUUUUCAUGUGCGGUAAAAUGCUAGUAGUUAAAACGUAACGGCCCACCCAAAGUAUUAAUUCAUCAGGAAGAUUUGCAGCAGGGGCUGGGCAUUUAUUAGAAAAUAAGGAAGUUGGAACUAUCCUGUGAGAAGUAACCUGCAGCAAAUAGUAGCUCCUCAGCAAAGGCAAUUUCUGCAGUUUCUCCAGAAGAAGGUACAUGACAGAGGAUAUUCCUCUUCACCUCUUCUUUCCUAAUAACCUUCUGCUAUCCUACAACAGCAAACACUAACUGACUAUGCCUGUAAAAACUAAGAAUAAAAGGACUGCCCUGUUAUACUUGGAACCACAAUUCAUUGUAAAAACAGGUAGUGAGAAAAAUAGGUGCUGCUUUUUUUUUUUCCUCUUCAAAUUGUUAACUUUUUGUUAUAGAAACCCUAAAGGAUUAAGUGUGUGUAAGAUAAAAAGCCCAUACUACAGAAAUUCACCAACACACCUGGCUAUGUAUUAUUUCUGUACCUUUUGGUUCUCUUCAUCUGCUAUCAGUUUAAUGGUAUGUCUAAUGUGAGGAGAACAAAGCUCUUCUAAAAAUUUAUAAAUAGUUCACAUGAAGUUUUACACCUGACUGCAUCCAUCCACAAAGUAACUACGGUCUCUGAACAUUUGUCUGAAGUUUUGCCCAGAGCUCAAAAUACUUCCUUUUGAGGAUGUAGAAACAGAAAAAUUUCAAAACAAGUCUUCCCGUGUAACCAUUUUCAUUCCCAAUGUUGCAAAACUGAGAAACUGAAAAAGGUAAUGUAUGGGUUUGCUCUAUUUUAAGUCCCAAAUACAAACCAAAAUACUUAAUCAUUUGCUUAAUUAGUUUGCUGUCUUGUCAGUUCUAGACCAGGAAAUGUAUGAAUAAAAACUCACCUUCCAUAGUAAGAAUACCAACAGAGCAAGCAUCAGUAUUCCAGCAAAAAUAGCCACCGCGAUGAUCCACCAUGGAACUCCUGUGUAAAGUGCUACUGGUUUUGCAGGAAACACCGUAACACGCACCUAAAGGAAAUAAAAUGUGAAGAUGGAAAGAGCAUUUCAAAGCAUCCAUGUUUAAUAUAAAGCUGAAAUUUAUGGAGUCUUAUCGCUUUUCUGAUAAGAUGUCUUCUCUCUCAUCUACAAAGUGCUUUUGAAGAAAAAGUUCCUACUGGUAUCAUUUUAAUCAGGUUGGAAAAAUUCACUACCAUACUGAAGUCUUUAAGAUAAGCUGGAAACAUCACAACCAUAACAUAUGGUUAGCAUUAAAUGGUGGACCUACCUGAGCAACUUCAUUUGUGAGUUUAACAUUCUUGGCUGCAGCAGGAACACUGAUUGAAGCCCUAACAAGAACAUCCAGGUAGUUCAUUUUGGAGUACUCCUGUUACAAAAUAAAAUACGGACAUUAGACACAAAGCAGGAAACUCUGACUUUCCCAAAAUGGCAGCUUGCAAUCAUGAUACAGGCAAGAUGUUCCAACUCUGGCAUUACCAAACAAGUCACAAUUUUAUUGGAAUCAUUUGUCACUCACCCGGAUAUCCAUCCUGGUUAAUGUCCCCAACAUUUUCAACUGCAAGACCAAACAUGGAGUCAGUGGUUCCAUUCAAGCGAAUAGGUGUUACUCCUUCCCACUUGCCUUGCCGGUUAAUGUAGAUGUACACAGCACCACCAAUAUCUCCACUUCUGUCAAAAUACUGCGGGGCUCCAACAACAAUGUCUUGCCAUCUUGGAAUUAAAGAAGAAAAAAAAAAAAGCAGUGCUGUUACAGAAGAACUGUGGAAAGUAACAGAUCAGACAGAGGUCUCAAGGUCAGCUAGCCAAGGAGCUGCUGGACAAAGACUAAGAAGUACAUUGAACUGGCUGAGCAGCAACAGCUCCACCCAUACAACAAGCUGAUUAUAUUCCCUUUGUGACAUACAAGGAUCUCCUAGGGCCUGCUUUGGGUAUGAGAUCUGUUUCUUCUUUCUUUGUUUACACUAGUUGUUUAAAUUUUAAAGCUCUUUUCUAUAAUUAGAAACAUAGACUGUGUCCUGACUGGAUCUCCGAGAUGGUCGCCAUCUCCUCCAGGAGAUCAUAGCAGAUGGGAUUUGGCAUUCCCUGUAUUUCUUACAUGACAAACCAAAGUGGAAAUAAACCGGAUCGCUGUGCAUCAUUAUGCCAGCAGCAGGAGUUAACCUAGGCCAUACCCGUCGUUGUUGAGAUCCACCACAGCAACAUCAUAGCCAAAAGAAGAGGCCAGCCCUUCUCCUUCAAACAUGUGCUCAAGUGAAAGCGCUCUCUGAUUUUUCUCUUUUUUCAGUAGAACAACAGCUCCGCUGUGGUUGGCUCUUGGGGCACCAGACACAAAAGUCAUCUCAUCUUGGGAGACAAUUCCUUUACCAGAGUCCAAAGAGAAACCUUUAACAGAGAAAGAAAGAAACUAUAAACAAACAAACUAACAGCCUGUAUUGAUCAUUGGAAAAAUAAAUUUCCCCUACUAUAUUAAAGUGGUAUAUUAAAGUUUUGUCUAAAACA